GGCAUUUUACUUGGAUAGAUUUACAAUGGCUUUGAAAUCUCAUUGGGAAUGUUUCAUUUUACAGCACAUCACUUUGGAGGAUGUUUCAAGAAGGGUAGAAGCACCUCAGUGGAAGAAAGAGUGGUUUACUGAAGUAAAUGGAACCUUUCAAGAGGACACCUUUAUAAUGCCAGAGAUAGGGAGAAAACGCAGAAAGUACUCAGACUGAAAAAGAUGUUCAGAAAGAAAAAAAAAAUUCUCUUCCAGGAAAUAAGGAAAGACGACUCCUUAAUGCUUCGCCUCAGUUAGUUGUCCUUACUUCCCAUUCUCCAUCCGACUUGUCCUUGCAACUUCUGAAGAGAGCACACUGCAGAAACAAGUGGCUGGAGAGACUCUUGCCACUGAGGCAGAGCAGCUUUGACUUAAGGCUUGCAGUCUGUAGGAAGAAAAAUAGCCUGGAAUAUCAGUGGCCAUUGUGUGUGAGCCAAGGGGCUCAGAUUGCUGUUGGCUUGGGGAUCUCUGCACCACACUGUUUCCCUCAUCUUGAUAGCCACAGUCGUUCAGCCCUUGUCUUCCCUGACUGGUAACUGUGUAAAGGACAUUUAUGAGCUGUACACACAUCAAAUGCUUUCAGACUGUUGAGGUCAGAAAAAUACAGCAUGAUCAUUUCUCUUACCCUCUUCCUUUGCCAUAAUUUAUUAUUUAUAUUAAUGUUUCUUUUCAAAUGCUAUGUUGUUGUUGAAUUAAAUAAUUGGUGGAGGUGAUGCUGGAAAUACAACAAAAUAUUAUUUUCGUGUGGAUUGAAGGCAAAUUUGGAGACUGGUGCUCUACAGACAUGCAAUGAAGGUAAUUAUAUCUUUAAUCUUUUAUUUUAAAACCUAGCAAUAAACUAAGGAAAGAGGACAUUGAUAUGCAAGAACUUGAUGGGGUGAAAGCAAGGAAUACAGAUAACCAGAAAUAUUAUGCAUAAUUAAGAAAAUUGCUAAUGAUCACUUUAAUCAAUG
rnacentral:lncRNA from 1 species